GCCUGGCUUCUGGGCAGAAAGGCUCGGAAAUGCAUGAAGGCUUGGUCGGGCUCCUACCCCGUGAGUGUGGUGCAGAUGGUCCUACCGAGGACGGGUGGCUGGUGGAGAGGUACAGACCACGUUUUCUGGACCCGUCCACCCAUGGAUACGUGCUCGGAUCGCUUCCCUGUUGUGAAUGAUGCUGUAGGAGUGUGGAAGUGCGGGUAUCUUCGUUUCUUUUGGGUGUAUAGCCUAGAAUUGGCAUUGCUGCAUCUUAUGGCUCCCGAAGACCUUGGCAUUCAUGACCCAGUUGAAGGUCAACAACCUUGGCAUAACCUGACCAGCUGCUGCCCCCUUGACUCAUCUGUGUGUUUCGUCUGAACUGUGGAGGGUCAGAUUUUUUUUUCUGCUGAGAAAAUCCAAGAUCAAAGUAACUGCCCUUUUGAUCAGCAUUGUCUACGACUAUCUGCAAUGAAGGAAACGUCUUCUACUCUGUAAUGUUCAAGAAAGGGGUGGCUAGCCAUGCA